UGGGGAAUAUUGCACAAUGGAGGGAACUCCGAUGCAGCGACGCCGCGUGAACGAAGAAGGCUUUCGAGUCGUAAAGUUCUUUUAUAUGGGAAGAUAAUGACGGUACCAUAAGAAAAAGCCCCGGCUAACUACGUGCCAGCAGCCGCGGUAAUACGUAGGGGGCUAGCGUUGUCCGGAAUCACUGGGCGUAAAGGGUUCGCAGGCGGAAAUGCAAGUCAGGUGUAAAAGGCAGUAGCUUAACUACUGUAAGCAUUUGAAACUGCAUAUCUUGAGAAGAGUAGAGGUAAGUGGAAUUUUUAGUGUAGCGGUGAAAUGCGUAGAUAUUAAAAAGAAUACCGGUGGCGAAGGCGACUUACUGGGCUCAUUCUGACGCUGAGGAACGAAAGCGUGGGUAGCAAACAGG
rnacentral:rRNA from 2 species